rnacentral:rRNA from 1 species
GACGAACGCUGGCGGCGUGCCUAAUACAUGCAAGUCGAACGCUGAAGGCCCAGCUUGCUGGGUUGGAUGAGUGGCGAACGGGUGAGUAACACGUGAGUAACCUGCCCCCUUCUUUGGGAUAACGGUCGGAAACGGCUGCUAAUACCGGGUAUUCACUGUCCUUCGCAUGGGGGGUGGUGGAAAGGUUUUUUCUGGUGGGGGAUGGGCUCGCGGCCUAUCAGCUUGUUGGUGGGGUGAUGGCUUACCAAGGCUUUGACGGGUAACCGGCCUGAGAGGGUGACCGGUCACAUUGGGACUGAGAUACGGCCCAGACUCCUACGGGAGGCAGCAGUGGGGAAUAUUGCACAAUGGGCGAAAGCCUGAUGCAGCGACGCCGCGUGAGGGAUGACGGCCUUCGGGUUGUAAACCUCUUUCGCUCAUGGUCAAGCCGCAGCUUUGGGUUGUGGUGAGGGUAGUGGGUAAAGAAGCGCCGGCUAACUACGUGCCAGCAGCCGCGGUAAUACGUAGGGCGCGAGCGUUGUCCGGAAUUAUUGGGCGUAAAGGGCUUGUAGGCGGUUGGUCGCGUCUGCCGUGAAAUCCUCUGGCUUAACUGGGGGGCGUGCGGUGGGUACGGGCUGACUUGAGUGCGGGUAGGGGAGACUGGAACUCCUGGUGUAGCGGUGGAAUGCGCAGAUAUCACGAAGAACACCGGUGGCGAAAGCGGUCUCUGGGCCGUUACUGACGCCCAGGAGCGAAGCGUGGGGAGCGAACAGGAUUAAAUACCCUGGGAGUCCAAGGCGAAUUCCACAGUGGAUAUCAGCUCAUCGAGACCGUCGACCUCGAGGGGGGCCCGGGCGCUCUUUUUUCUCUCUGUUUCUUUUGAUUAUUAAGGU